GUCUGAGGCGGCUGCGGCCGCGUCGGUGUCGGCGUCGAGGAGCCGGGGCAGGGCACGAUGGCGGACUGGGCUCGGGCUCAGAGCCCGGGUGCUGUGGAAGAGAUUCUAGACCGGGAGAAUAAGCGAAUGGCUGACAGCCUGGCCUCCAAAGUCACCAGGCUCAAAUCGGUCAGUGGUGGUCUGUCCUCUUACCUCCACCUGGUGCCUUUGGGGAAUGGGGAUCAGAAGGAAGGCAGAGGGCCCAGAGGAGUUUCAGGCAGUUUUCCAUCCUCGUCCGAUUCGUGGCUGUGCUCACCUGCAUGAGGCCCCAGCUGACACCUGGACCUUUCUGUCUGCUGCUGCCCCACUGUGUCUGGCAGAGUUGUUGGCAGGGUUUGUGUGGUCUGGGGAGGGUGAGUGCUGUAUUAUGUGUCUGCUCUGGCCCAACCCUGCCCUCUCUGUCUGCUGAACAGCUUGCCCUGGACAUCGAUAAGGAUGCAGAGGAUCAAAACCGGUACCUGGAUGGCAUGGUAAGGGCCCACGGUGUGCGUGAAUCAGUGCCCUGCCCUAGCACUACCUGCUGCAGAGCCUGCAGUGUCCCCUUCAGCACUGGUGCGGGUGGGUGGUCAAAUCACCACUUCUGUGUGAUCUUGCUGGGAUUCCUCCCUUAGGACUCGGAUUUCACAAGCAUGACCGGCCUGCUUA
rnacentral:sRNA from 1 species